UUAUUUGGAGUUUUUUUUUUAUGAACUAAUAUUCUACCCUAUUUAAUGAUAAUUCCUUUGAUUUUGAUAAUUUGGUCACUUUUGAACAUGCUUGUGAACCUUCCUUGAUUUGAGACAUGCUAUGUAUAUGUAUAUAUGAGUUUAGCAUUGAAUUAUUCUUUAAGCUCAUUAUUAUUAGUUGUGAAUUAACCUCAUUUUAUGAAAACACUUUUAAAUGUUGUCAAAGUACACUUCUUUCCCUUACUUAUUUAUGCAUAUUAGUAUAUGUGCUUAAUUCAUAUGAUUGGUUGACUUUGCUUUGUUUGAUCUUCGUGUUGAUGAUCUUUCUUAAUGAUCCUAUGUGGAAUGCAUAUUAUAUAUGUGAUGAUACUUUUGCUUGUAAACUAAUUCUUUUGUUUUAUGGAAGUGCUUAACAAGCUAUAAAGGUAUGUUCUUCAUCUUCUGUGAUUAUUGCUUAUUGAAUGUGUAUGUUUUGACAUUUACUUUGAUCCAUGGUAUCCAUUAAUUUACCCAUUAAUUGCCAUAGUUACUCCAACUUAUUUAGUAGAGACCAAUUUUAGGGCUUAGAGGGGUGCUACCAUUAUAAUUCCUUCUCAAUAAGUAAUUUGACCCCUGGAUUUAGACUCGAAUUUUCAAAGACAUGCUUUUCUAUAAAAAAAAAAAAAGGAGUCAUUUUUUAAGGUUUUUCUUUCUUAUUUUUUCCCUUUAAAAAUAAAAUGAAAAUAAGUGGCAACUCCAUUAUUUAUAACAUUAGUUUUUCACAAACAAAAAGCGAAAGUCGCUAUCAAGUGGGAACGUGUGUGAAAAUGUGGGAUCAUAGUUUCCAUGGUGAGGGAACUAUUGUGUAUAUUUACACAUUAGAUGAGACUUAUGAUGAAUCGUAAUGUAAGGUUAUCAAAUUGUCAUGAUUCACCAAACUAUUAUGUUGCAUGGACUUUUAACAUUGAGGGGAUAUUGAGCCUAUUCUAAAAUCAACAAGUGGCUUUGACUUAUGGGUGAAACCUUUAAUGUGAUCAUAUAUCCUUAAGAAUUGAGUCAUUGUUAAUGAAGGCUAGUAACAAUAGGUAUUCUCAAUAAAGAUAUCAUGAUAUCUCAUGGGAUUAAGACGACAUGUCAUCUUGUGUGAUCUAAAUGACAUGUGAUCAUAAAAUCUAUGGUCCUAGUAAUUUCUUUAGUGAAAUUUGACAUAUACUCCUUCAAACUAGAGUAUGUCAAUUAAUCAUAUAAUGGAUGGACUUACAAGUCAAGGAUUGGAGAAGUAAUCUUGAUAGGUUGGUAGCACUAUCCUAUUAGAUUACAAACACACCACUUCAUUGGAAGUCUACAUGUAAUGAAUAGUAAGUCACAAACUUGAACUUUGUUUUGUUGUAAUUUCAUAAGAUAUUAAAGUGUAGUUGACUAUCUUUAGCAGAGUGUUGAGUCAACUUCAAAAUUGGAUUAUGAGGGAGCCAGUAUUUCCCUAUGGAUCACAAUGGUCGCCGCUUGAACUCUUAGUUCAUGGUGGUACAUGCUUUGAGGAUAUUUUGGAUAUGUAAUUCAUAAGUGUGCAUAAGGGCAUUUUGGUAAAAAUGCAAAGUUGCAUUAGAUCUUAUAAGUUGACUUUCUAGAAUAGGUUAAUUAAUUUAUUAGCCCUAAUGAGCUUUAAUUAAGACUUAUUUGAACUAAUUAAUUAAUUAGGACUUUAGCCCAAUUUGGACUUAAGUCACUUAAAUCUACAGGAAAGUCUAUAUAAACCUCCUUAAGGGUUAGGGUUUUAGCCUUAUAGUUCAAUUUUCUAAAAUUCUAGAGAGAAGAACUUUAACAUCUUCUAAAGAAAGAGAAAAACUCACCCUUCUUUCAUGCCAAGACCCAUGGAAAAGGAGAUCAGGUGGAACAUCAUUGGAUAGAUAAGUUCUAGGAUGACUAUCACAGUUUCAGAGUCUUUAUCGGAUGGAAAUCUAUAUGAGAACAUUUAGAUUGUAGGUUACAUUCUUCUCUAGAUCUAGUAUUUUUAUGGUUUUUAUUGUCAUAGUUUUUUUUUUUUUGCUUCAGAUCCAAAGAAACUUAGGAUAGAUGUAUGCACUUAUGUGAUCCAAGGUUAGGGAAUGAAACAAUCCGAUUUUCACAACUUUACUCUUUGCCUUGGUUAUUGUAGCCUAUCAAUCAUAAUGCACAAACAUAGACGACGCUAGUCUCGCCUCCAAAGAAUAUUUGUUAAGAGGUUUUAAGUCAUGUAGCCUCAAACUUACUAUUUAUAAGGCAAUAAGCAUGACCUCCAUUAUGGAUCAAGUGAUGUAGGUUUGCUUGGAAGGCUUCUAAGAAACUACCUCUCCUCCUAGGGUAAAGACAUACCUACUAGUGGAUUUCAUUCCAUUUGAAUCAAACAUCCAAAUUGAAUCACUAUACCCUUAAGUGCAUUAGGAAAUCCAUUAUAACAUAUACCACAAUCAUCAAUGCCUUUCAAGUACUUAUGUACCCUAUGAAUAACAUUCUAGUGGUCCUGGUUAGGACUCUAGGUGUGCUGACUCAUCUACCUAUUGCAUGGGUAAUAUAAGGUUUGGUACAAUUAAUUAAGUGCAUUAGGCUACCAAUGAUAUGAGCAUAUUAAGAUUAGACAAUACCAUGUCUUUUAGUUUUCUUUAUCUUUGAGUUGGGAUCAUAGGGAGUUACUAUUAUCUUAUAAUUAAAGUGUUCAAUAGGAUUUUCUCAAGUAUUAUUGAGAAAGUUUAAGCUCACUAGUUGUCCUAGUUAUGACUCCAAAGGAACUUGCUUAGCAUACUUUCAAUCUUGUGAAGGACACCUUUGGGCAUUUCAAAAGUUGAAGACCAGCAAGCAGCUGAAAAACCGUUGCGCACUAGUGCGCGUAACUUGGUAUUAAUUAGUUUUUCAGCUUCUCAAGGCGAGUCAGUUGCGCGGGUCAAGAUGGGCGAGAUGCGCAAGUAGAUGAGCCAUAUGCGCAGGUAUGGGUGAUAUGCACAGUAGGUUGUUAUAUGUGACAUUGCCUUAGUCUCAAAGACCUACCAUCCCCUUGCUAUUCAGAGCGAGAUGCGCAUAGCGAGAUUGAAUCAUUCUUAGGAAAACGUUCAAGUUGUUGUUUGAUAUAAUCGGUGGAGAACAUUCACAACUCAUUCUUUAUAUCUUUGAUUCUUGAAACUGAUAUACUUUUGAGAAAAUCUUAUAUCAAAAGCAUAACUUUCGAGUCAUGACUUGCGAGUUACAGGUUUUAGGAAAAACGAGAGUCUCCGUCGUGAGGUUAGGUCCAACUCUACUGAAAUUUGAAUGCCGCAGCUUAGCUGCCAAGGUAAAUAAAGUAUUUAUGAAUGAGUCAAGCUAAGCAAGGGGGCGGGGGUACCUAUAUCUACCCAACCAGGUGUGAAUUCUUUUAGUUUUUUCCAGAUAUAGGGCUUUGUUUGAAAGAAUAUGUCUUCAUUAGCGAGUAGCUGCUGGUUUUCAAUCCUCCCAGUGAUUGAGUGAGUUCACGCUCUGUUCAGCGUGGCCCAACUAGGAGUGGAUGCCAACUCAAUCUGAUUUGCCUCGCAUUGACCUCCCCGUCUCUUUAUCAUAGAUCAGCCCUGUCAUCGCUUCUCCUGCGACAAAAACUUGGGUGAAGAAUUCAGUGGACAAAAAGUAAAUUGAUGAUUUUCUUAAUAGGGUUAGCUGAUUUGCUUGGUUCGUCUGUUCUCUCCGAGACCCUCCUUCGACUCGCACUCGCGAAUAUCAAAAUCUAGUAUCUUGCUGUUUUUUCAGUCAAGUUAAGAACACACGCUUCAACUUGCACCUGCGCUAAUCAGUGACUUGCUAACUUGCCUUCAUGUCUCGCUACCAAUACACUUACUUGAUAUCAAUCGACUCAUAUUAGUAAGACAUCUUCUAAUGAGUCUCGCUCUCAAACCCUUGUACUUUAGCUAGCGAUUGCGCGUUAGUGUUUUUUUUUUUUCUUCUUUCGUUGACACACAAAUUUUUCUUAUCUCGUUGAUUGAGCUAGCGGUGGAAAAUUACGCAUGAAUUGUCUUCUAAUUAUGCCAGUCAAAAGCCCGAUCAUUUGAAUAAUGUUCCUAACCUCUUGGCAAAAUGUUUUGUUUUAAGAGAGACCAAGAUUGUCUUAGCACGAAGGACUGGCAGUCUUUCUAUCUGUAACGAAGAUUACGUCCUCACUCAAGCCCUUUUCCAAAAGAAAUGGAAUAUCACACCCCUCUAUAGCACAAAGCAUCAUUCCAAAAGGAGAAGCACCUCUCAUAAGGGUCACAUCGCAAGCAGGGGACUGAACCAAGCAAAAAGGGUUCAAAUCUUAAUGAUGAACGCAUUGGCAGAAAGGCUACGUGAUGGGAUGAUCAACUGGAUUGCUACUCCCAUAAAAAAUGACUAUCAAAUAAAGGAUGGUAGAGGAUCAGAUGGAACCCUGCAUUGUCCUCUACAGACUCCUACCCAUUUCAUUCAGGUUUUCUUGUCCAAAAGAAAGAUAAGCGAAAUAUGAGUCAAAAGUGUCCCCGAAGAUCGGUGAAAAGUACUUGAAAAAGACACCUAUUCUGAUGAAAGAGACUGACAAUAAUCCCAAUAGGUUUAGUUCUACUAACUCUCUAUUCUUUUAUCUGUUCUUUCCCUCAAACGAAAAAUAAGAUUUUCCUAUAGCAUAGAGAGGAAAUGAAAAAGAAAAUUGCAUUUUGUCAUAUCCCUUUCUCUCCGCUUUGAACAUUUCUCUCAUCCCGAGAAAGAGCUCGAUCAUGUACACCUCAGUCGAAGCAACGUAUAUCAGCAUUGACCCCCUUCGCGAUACGCCUUCGAUCUGUGUUAGCUUUUGCUACAUACUUGCUUGGUGGGUUCAGAUUGAAGUAGACUAGCAUCAAACUUCUCUUGCCCCGGUCCUGUAUUUUCCAUGUGCUCACUCUGCGCCUACCACACUUCCGGUUCGCUUUAGACAAGUCUUGAACCUCAUUCUCUCUAGCCCCAGCUGAAAAACAGAUGCACGUGCUAGUGCGCCCCUAUUAGUAAAGCUUAGAUUUGAAGCUGGUAGAAGUAGAUAUUUCAUUUCCAGUUCAAGCACAGUUUAUCCAGGCGGUUGGGGUAGGGAUGGAACACAAGCUCAGGACCUAGGGAAGGGAUGGAUUAAAGAACUUCUUGACGCGGUAACACGGGGAGACGAGUCACCCAUGGACACCCCCUAUGGAGGACUAGCAAUAGGAACGGGUCUCAUAAUUCUCGAGGUUGCGAUAAGAGUGCAUGAGAAAUGGAAUCUUUCUGAGUUGUGGAGUCAUCUUGUGUUGAUGCCACUCCAAUCUUCUCUCCAAUCUCGAUUUUAAUCGACCAAAGACUCUAUAGGGCUUUUUUUUUGUUAUGUCUUGGAGUAAAAUCCACCCGGAGCAAAAACACGACAUAUUAUUUGAGUCUCAAAGAUAUGAUGUUAUCCAUAGAAAGUGGAAGCAUAGUUUCUAUAUUGUAAAAGAGAGUUUUAACUACUCCGUCCUAUCCAACAAAAAUUCAGAAUCAAAGUUCUUUUCCAUUUCCACUGUAUUACCUCAAUGUUGUCAAUGUGAUGUGAUGGUUUGUUAUGCCCAUCGCUUGUUGAAGUGAGAUGAUCCAUUUCUUAUGUGUGAGUUAAGAUAGAUGGUUGGUCACUUCCGACUCAUAGAAUGAGAUGAAGAAAUUCUCAUAGGUUAGCAUUAGGUAGUUUUUUUCUACGAGCAAUAUAGCCUUUAUGCCCCAAUUGAUAAUAGAUGUUUUUCCACUCGAUCUAGUUCCAGCUAUUUGCAUCACGGGAUGAUUUAGUGGUUCAUUUAUCGCGUAGGGCGGGGGACUAGGGAACUGCCAACCUAGGUUUCAAUAAGAGCCCUUCCGAUACUUGUAGGAUUGCACAAAGACCUUUGGAUCGAACACCUUGCACCACCGGGAUGAAUGGGAAGGCCUUGAGGUGGAAAUGAUUCAGAAUUAGUUUGCAAACGAUAGACAAACUUUCGAUGGGGUCCCGAUCCCGGUUAUUUAUGUUUAAGUGAAAAAUAAAGAUCGAAAUGCGGUUUUGCAUCGGUGGUAACACUAGUAGUUGACCCACUUUCUAUGAACUCAUCUGAUCCAAUGUCAUAUCCAAUUGACCGAGUCGAACUAUCAGCAGUGGAGAAGGCAACAAAAGCACUACAAAAAAAGGCAGAGAUAUCACCAGCGGUAGAGGUAGCAGCAUCUAAGCCAGUAUCUAGGCCAAUUGGCUUCGUCGACUCAGCAAUUGAAGUAGUUGAUCUUGAUUUAUAGAAUCACUUUUGUCUCUCCUAAGGUCUUUCAUAUCAAAAUUAAAGCCUAGGAAUUUCUUAGUCUCACAUAUGACAUUUAAGAUAGUUCUGAAAAUCAAUAUGUCAUCUACAUAGAAAUAGACGACAACACAUGUUUUACCCAAUUUUACUAUAAAUGCACUUAUCAACAUCAUUAAUGGAAAAUCCAUUAGUUACUAAAAUGUGAUCAAAUUUGUUAUACCAUUGUUUAGGUGCUUGUUUUAACCCAUAUAAAGACUUAACAAGCCUACACACUUUUUGUUUUUCUCCUAGAACAAUGUAACCCUCUAGUUGAUUCAUGUGAAUUUCCUCUUUCCAAUUGCCUAAGGAUUAGUAUUGACAUCCAUUUGGUGUACUACUAAAUUAUGAAUGGAAACUAGAUCCAAUGAUAUUUUAACAUGGGAUAGCUUGGUUACAAUGCAAAAAUGUCAAAUUAGUCUACAUUUUUCCUUCAUUUAAAUUCUUUUGGCAACUAAAUGUCCCUUAUGUUUUUCUAUGGGUGUCUAUCUAGUUUUAACUUCUUUUUAAAAUCCACUUACAACCUAUUGGCUUUACACCAUGAGGUAAAUCCAUUAUCUCUUAUGUAUGGUUAGACAUGAUUGAUUCAAUUUCACUAUUUAUAUCUUUUUUCCAAAAUGGUGCAUCUGGAGAAAAUAUAAUUUCUUUAUUAGUCUUAGGGUUUUUAUCUAUUAGAAAGGUGUAAAAAUCAUCUCCAAUAUUUGUUUCCUUUCUAUAAUUUUUUUACUUCUUCUUAAUUCUAUCUCGGUAGAUUCAUUAGACUCAUUUCUAAUGGUUUUUUGAAUUUGGUCUUCAUAUUAUUAGGUUUCAUAGGAAAGAUUAUUCCAAAGAAAAUAAUAGUCUUUGUUUCCAUUAUGGUGUUUACUUCACUAGUUUGUUAUAUGAUUUGAUAAUAAGAAACCUCAUUGUUUUCAACAUAUCCUAUGAACAUUGUAUAAAAAAUUUAGGACUUAAUUUUUGUUUCUCAAGUUUAGAAAAGAGUAUCUUUGUUAGACACUCUUACACUUUUAGGUAUGUUAUGUUCGGUGCAUUAACCUUCCUCAACUCAUAGGUUGUUUUUCCAGUUUUCCUAUAAGAUAUUCUAUUUUGAAUAUGAUAAUUGGAAAGAAUAGUUUCUCUUCACAAGUUCAACAAUGUUCAAGAACUUAUCAAUAUUGCAUUAAUAAUGUGUUUUAAGGUUUUUUUUUUUUGCUACUCCAUUCAAUAUUGGGUAAAGCAAUUGGACUCAUACUUUCUCAUUUCCUAUCACUUCUAAGUUUUUUUUUCUUAGUUGAUUUUUCUACUUUGUUUUAUAUUUUAUGAAGGUGUCUCCUACUUCAUUGUUAUUUAUUAAAAGAUAUACUUUUAUAUACUUUAAGUAAUAAUCUAUAAAAUUUAUGUAGAAUCUUUUACCAUAUCUUGUUAUUGUAUUUUUAAGAUCUUUUAAGUCACAAUAAAUUAAACUUAGUAAUUUUAAUUCUCUAUCUACAGUUUUACAAUUCUUUUUUGUGACUUUAGAUUCCACACAUAAUUCACAUUUUUUAUGGUUUUCCAAAGAUAAUUUGGUAAUCAAGCUAACAUUCACCAUCUUCUUGACAUAUGAAUAAUUUCUAUUUUCUAGUUUACCAUGCCAUACAUCAUAGGAAUCAACUAAAUAAGUAAUAAAAGAAGCAUUGUUAUUAUUGAUCUCAGAAACAUUCAACAUAAAUAAAACUUGAUUACUAUUGAAAUAGAGCCCCUUAAAAGUAAGUCAUGAUGUAAUAAAGUUAGACUUAACUUUUCACUUUUUAUCAUCUUUCUACAUCAAUAUUGAUUUGAGUAUUCAAGCUCAUACUACUUGCAUUGUACAUAAUUUGGGUGUAUUAGAAGUUACACAAAAGAUAUAAGUCAUGGGUUCUUUGUAAGAUGAUAAUUAGUUCAUGGCCAUUUCAUGGAUUUAGACAAUCCAUAUAGACUGUAAUGCACUACUUCCUAAUUAGAGGGAUGACUUGUCUUAACCACCAGGAUGAGAUUCCCAUGGUGAGUUCCUUAGUGUGUAUGGGUACACACUGGACAAGACCUGAAUCAUGACAUAAGACUAUCUAGUUAGUUGUCACGAUCCAUCAAUCUAAUAUAUUGUAUAAACUCUAACUUUGAGAGGAUAUUGAACUUGUACUGAAAUCAACAAGAAGUUUUGACCUAUGGGUGAGAUCUUAAAGUGAUCAUAUAUCCCUACGAAUUGGGUCAUUAUUGAUGGAGGUUGGUGAUAGUAAGCAUUCUCAUUAAAGACACUAUAAUAUCUCAUGAGAUUGAAAUAGUGUGUCCCUUUGGGUGAUUCAAAGGACAUGUGAUCAUGAAAUUUGUGGUCGUAGUGAUUCUUUAAGUGAAAUUUGAUAUAUGUUCUUUGUGAACUAGAGUAUGUCAAUUAAUCACAUAAUAGGAGGAUCUAAAACUCAAGGAUUAGAAAAGUAAUCUUGUUGGGUUGAUAGCCUUAAAUUAUAUAGGUCAUAGACCCAGACUUUGUCUUGUUGUAAUUUCAUAAGAUGUUAGAGUGCAGUUGACUCUUUUUGCUGGAGUGUCAGAUUAAUAAGUCAACUUCAAAAUUAGAUUAUGAGGAAUCUAAUAUUUUAUUAUGGGUCUUAAAAGUCCCCAUUCAAGCUCCUAGUUCAUGAUGACACUUUUUAUUUAAGGGAUUUCGGUUUGCACUUCAUAAGUGUGCUUAAAGGUGGUUUAGUAAAAAUGCAAGGUUACACUAGAUCUUAUGAAUGAUUUUUUCUAGAUUAGUGGAUUGGGAUAAUUAAUUAAUUAGAGCUUAUUAUAACUAAUUAAUUAAUUAGAACCAAAAUGGGAUGAAUUAGGCGAUCCAAGCCUAGUUUGAGUUCAAGUUACUUAAGUCCACAGAGAACCUUAUAUGAGCCCCCUUAUAAGGUGUUUGGUAAGUGGGAAUGGAGAAUAAGAAUAGACAUUUUGUUUUAUUUCCUAUUUAUUGUGGAAUGGAAUUGAAUUUUUGAUUUCAUUUCUAUUGUUUGGAUCAACUUAGGAAUCUAAGAUUGGAAUGAUUAUUUGUUGUCAUUCCAAUGUUUGGUAACAAUAGGAAUGUGAAUGAAAAAGAAAUAAAUUGACAAUAAUACCCUUACAUUUUUAAAGAAUAAAUUUUAAGAGUUUUUUUUGUUACUAAAUGAUAAGAAUAAACAAAUAAUAUAUUCAAUAAAUAAAAUAUUAACCAUAAAAAAUCAUACAACCCUAGUAUACAAAUAUUCAAUUAUUCUUUUUAUAAAAAAAUUGAAUAAUUUGUCAUGUCUAAGAAUCUAUAAAAUUAUAUUUUAUAAAAAAAAAAUAAAUAAAUAUAUUUAUUAUUGUAUUUAAAUUCUCAAAGAUAGCAAAUACUUUUACUAUUUCCAAAAGAGGAAAUAAAAACUCAAACUUCAUUUUAAUUUUCAAUAAAUAUUAUAUCCAAUAAAAUCCACAACCCUAAAAAUAUGCAAAUAUCCACUUAUUCUUUUAUCAAAUUUUGAAUAAUUUGUCAUGCAAAAAAAACUCUAAAAUUAUAUUUUACAAACAAUUAUAAAAGCAUUUAAAUUUCCAAGGGUAAAAGAGUAAUUUUAUGCUAUUUUAUAUUAUCUAUGGGAUGAAUGAAUUAGGAUACCACUUGUUUGUGAUGAAUUAAAAUCCCACUUAUAAUUGGGAUUUGAUUUAUAUCGGAAUUAUUUUUUAUUUCAUUCAUACCUUCAUAAAAUUUAUCCAAAUAUGGGAAUAAAGAAGAAAAAGAAUUAGAUAUCCAUUCCUACUUCCCAUUCCCGCUUACCAAACACCCCUUUAAGGGUUUAGGGUUUAGGUUUUUAGAAUUUUGACCAUCAUCUUUUAGAGAGAAAGUGAAAGUAAACCCUAGCCGCACUCAAGAAAGAUGGAAGAACUCAUCUCUCUCUUGUGCCACGAUUCAUGAAUGGAAAGAUUGGGCUGAAGAUCUUUAGGUAGAUGAGAUCUACAAUGCCACGACUUGGGUAGACAAGAUCUACAAUCUCAUGACAUCUUCUUUGAAUUAGAUUCAAUUUGAGAACAUCUAUAUCAUAGGUAUAGUUCUUCUAAUCUCUAGAUUUAGUUUCUAUUUUGGUUUUUAUAGUAAUUAUUUUCUAUUAUGCUUAGCUCUAGAGAGUUUGGAUAAGAUUGCAUGCACCCUAAUGAUCCAGGGUCAAGAAAUGGAGUAAUUCAAGAUUCCCAACAACUACAAUAACAUUUUCCAACAAAUAUGUCAUUUUUGGUUAAUCUAAUUUUAUAUGAUUCAAAUAAGAUAUCCACUCCUAUUUUCCUAAGUAAAGAGGCAUAUAAGAGAUUCUAAUGGAUAUUUGGCUUGUAAAGGACAUGACUUAGAACAAAAACUUUGCUUGAGGUUAGUUUGAGGAGAACUUUUCCUUUACUAAACACAAGCAAAGGUUUAGAAUUGCCUAUGAACAUUUGUUCCUCACCUUCUUUACUAUAGUAUAGGAAGUGAAUACACUUCUAUUACCACAUAUAUGCUUGGUAACUCUAGAGUCUAUCACCCAAUCCUUUACAUUGAUGACUAUAUUCACCUCAAGGAGACUAUAACAACUAUCACCUUUGUCUCUGUCAAAUUCACCUUAGGAUUGGACUUCCUAGUUCUUUUCCCGUGGCAACAUGAUCACCAAUUUUUGUUGUCCUGAAUACUAAGCCUAAAUUAUAUUGUAACUUUACAAAAAAAAAAAUCAUAAAUAAAGUUACUAUGACUUUUGUAGUACUUUGAGUAUCAUCUUCAAGGGGUAGCCUAUAGAUGUUUUCAAAACUAAGUAAAAAAAUCUUGUUUUCUAUUUGAUUCUUUAAAAAAAUUGGAGUUUAUUAAAAUAAACCUAAUUAAAUUAUAGAAUAAUUAUUUAUUUUUAAUUCAAUUAAUCAAGAUUAGGAUGUUCCAUUAUUCAACUUUCAACACAAACCUUUUAUGUGAAACAAGGGUAUAUAUUUUAAUUAAUCUUAUUUGGAAUGCAUGGUCUAAUGAGAUCAACCUAAGUUUCAUAUCUUAGAUUUGAUUUAUAUUUUAACUGUUAUUAUUUUGUUCCAUUGUAAAUUACAUAAGAGAUGAAUUAAGGUGAAAUUUGGGUUUAAGUCAAACAUUUUUAGGCUUUUACCACUGCAUGAAGAUUUGCCUCAAGAUAGAUAACAAUGAAAAAAUCUUGGAUAACUAUGAUCAAGAAUUACCAAAAAUCCCUAGUAUCAAGAAAUUUGUAAUUGUAUUAUCUCCUUAAUUAAACUAACUUUAGAGGGUAUUUUGAUUUUGAUAUUAAUACCCUAACAUUUCAUUCAUACCAUUAUUAAUUCAAUUUCACUCAGUACCUUUUGGAUCUAAUACUAGGUUUUAAUGUUUCAUAUCAUAAGAUGACUUUUUAACCUCUCGUGGGUGUAUUCUCACAUACAUAAGCCACAAAAGAAUAGGAAAGAAUAGUUCUUGAUUUUAAUGGAAUUAAAAACAUUAUUUUAUUCAAUAAUAUGAAUGAGAAAAAAAAACAAACCAAGAAAAACUUUUCAUGUCUUCAUUUUUUUCUCAAGAAUCAUAAAAAAAUAAAAUAUCUUAUAAAAUAUGAGAUUUUGUACCACUAUGGUAACUUGUGGAUGAUCAUCCAUAACUAUCUUUUGUUAACUCCCUAUAAAAUGAAAGGACCCCUAAUGAAAUUCUAUAGAGUUUUCUCGUGCAUUCUAUUAUCUCUUUCUUGUUUUCUUCUUCUCUCACUUUAUUUUACAACACGUUAUCAGCAUGAUGUUCGGAGUAUAUAUAUAAAAAAAAAUUAAUCUACAAAAUUUCUUAUAGGUAUGUAGUCUUAUUCUCUUCGAAUGAAAUAUGAAUAGUAUGCAUUGUAUUAUUAUAAUUUUUAUUUACUUUAUCUUAUAGCCAGAAGCUAUGUGAAUUAUAUUUCAUAUAAUUAUAGAUUUUAAUUAUUUAAUAACUAGAAGUUAUAUAGAAAAAUUUUCAUAACUAGAAGUUAUGAAAAAAUACAUAAUCUUCAUAACCAAAAGUUAUGCAUAACAAAAUUACAAAUACAUAGCCGAAAGGUAUGCAUAAGAUCCUUAAUUACUUCUUAGUUAUAUUAUAUAAUUUGAAGUUAUAUAAAACAAUAUUAUAUGACCAAAAGUUAUAUAAUGAAUAGUUAAUAGUCUGAAACUAUGUACAAAUCUAAAAUUACAAAUACAUAGCCAAAAGUUAUGUAUAUAACUCUUAAUUAUUUGUUUUUAAUUAUACAAUAUAACUGGAAGUUAUAUAAAAUAAUAUUAUAUAGUCAAAAGGUAUAAAAUGAAUAGUUCAUAACUUGAAGUUAUGCACAAAUCUACACAAUGAAUAGUUCAUAGUCUGAAGUUAUGCACAAAUUUACAUAAAAAAUGGUUCAUAUCCUAAAGCCAUGUAAAAAUUUAAAUAUUUUAUUGAAUAAUUCAUAGUCUGAAGUUAUGCACAAAUUUACAUAAAAAAACGAUUCAUAGCCUGAAGCCAUGUACAAAUUUAAAUAUUUUCUUGUUUUGACAAAAUAAUCAUAGCCUGAAGUUAUGAAAUAUAUUAACUUUUAAUUUCUUUAAUUUAUUUUAAUUAUAUUGUGUAACUAGAAAUUAUACAUAAAUAGUUCAUAACUUGAAGUUAUGCACAAAUUUACAUAAAAAAAAAAUAGUUCAUAGCUUGAAGUUAUGUACAAAUUUACAUAUUUUCUUGUUUUGACAAAAUAAUCAUAACUCAGUUAUGAAAAAUAUUGACUUUUAAUUUUUAUUUCAUAUUCACAAUUGUGGAAAAUAAUUUUACUUAUUUUUGACAACAUGAAUUAUGGAAAAUUUUUUAUUAACAAUUGUUUCAGAGCGAGAAGUUAUGCAUACAAUUUCUAAUUCUCUUGUAUAACUAGAAGUUAUACAAAAUAAAAUUGUCAAUGAACAACUAUGUACCUAGAAGAUACAUAAUUUUUUUAAUUUUGUUAUAUAACCAAAAGUUAUAUCAUAAUAUAAUUGUCAAUUGUUUAAUGUUAUUAUAACAUUACUUAAAUUUUAAUUAUUCAUAGCAUGAAGCUAUGAAGAAAAAGUUAGUAAAUUAAUAAUUGUUAAAACUUGUAUAGUUAGAAGCUAUAUGAAUAUAUAUAUACAUACAUAUAUAUAUAUAUAUACUAUAUAACCAAAAGUUAUAUAAAUAUUAUUAUUCAUAACCCGAAGUUAUGAAAAUAAGAAAAAUUAAUAUUCUUUGUACUAAUAAAAAGUUAUGCCAAAGUUGUUAAUACGUACUUUCUUAUAGCUAUAAGCUAUAGAGAACAAAAUUGUUAACUAACAAUUUUGUACAACUUUAUGAAAUUUAUAUAACCAAAAGUUAUAAUGAAAUAUAUUAUAGCUUAAAGAUAUGAUAACAAACAUAUAGAUAAUAUUUAUAUAUUAUCAAAAGAUUAAUAUUUUGUAUAUCAAGUUAUACAAAUAAGUAAGUGUUUGAUAGUUUUUAUAAAUUUCUAUUAUUAAAAGUUAUACUGUCAUUGGUAGAAAAAUUUACAUAUAGAUGUGGAAUUUCAGAUUGCAUGAAAGUAUGAUAUUUUUGUAUUAAAGGUGAUAGUUUGGAUUUUUUUUUUUUUAAUUCUAGUUGUUUAAUACACAAUAAUAUUUUGAUUUGGAAAAUUGAGAUUUUUUUGAUACAUGUGAAAUGUAUGACUUGGUCAUAUGGUUAAUAAAUUGAUUUUGCAUGUCAAUUUUCUUUAUAACAUGUUUUUAUGAUUGAAAAAUUUUGAGUUAUAUAAAAUAAUAUAUAUUAUUGCCUGUUGCCACAUAUGGUAUUUUUAUUAAUGCAAUAAUUUCAUUAUCCAAAAAUAAUUUUGAAAUUAUAAUAAGUUCAACUAUUGUUCUCAAUAUAUUAUGUUAUAUCUUUACAUAUAUGUUUAGAUGGAUUUGUAGUAUUUGAAUUAAAGUUUUGAGACAACAAAAUGCUUUAAAUCAUGAUAUGUUCUCUUAAAAUUUUGAUUUAUGAAUUAAUUUUUGCACAUUGAUUUAGAUUAUAAUAAUAUUUUGAAUAAAAUUAUUGAUCUAUUACUACAAUUAGUUUGAUUAUUGAAAUACUUCAUAGUUAUUUCAUGUAUAAAUUGCUCCACACUUACAAAAUCAAAUGUGUGAGAUAUUUAAGAAAUAUAUAACAUUAAAUUAUUUUUUUCAUAUUUGUUUUAUUGUGUUAUAUAUGUUCUCAUUGCUUUUACACAACUUAUUAAGUUAAGUCAUCAUCAAUGACUAAUAUUUUUCUAUUGAUUUUUACUCUUUCUCUAUGAUAAUAUUUCUUCAACUCUAUAAAGACAGAGUCUUUAUGACAUGUUUUAUAACUUGUUAUUUUGAUGAAAGUCUUGUCUCAUUAAUUGCACAACAUUGAUGACAAACAAUGUUAAUACUACAUCAGGUGAUAGAAACCUGAUUAAAGGUUCCAUAAGAGCUUGUACUAUAUCACUAGUAGUAUUUGAUUCCAUGGGAAUGACACUUUAUACGAUGCUAGAUCUAAGAGAAUCUUGUAAGACCAACUUGGUCUCCUAUGGUAAAAUGUCGUAUGAAAGUACAUUAUAAAAUCAGAAGUUUUAAUUUAGUAACUAGUCUACCUAUACACUUGAAAGAUAGAAUGACAUGUUGUGCAGAUUAUCAUUUUAAUGAGACAUUUUUCUCCCUGUUAGGGGGAGAAGAGCAUGUUUCAGAAGAACGGCGUGAAAUUAUGCAUUGAUUUUGACUUAUCUUGAUCCUCAUACUAAUCAAUGUGAACUGAAAGUUCAAAAGAUUAUUUAUUUGCAAGAACUUGCAAAUCAACAACCAAAUGCUUUCAUUGAUACAAAGAAAGUGACAAAAUCAUUUUCACUGACCUAGAAUAUUCCAAUACGAAUUGAUGUUCCUGAAGGAUGAUUAAAUAAUGAGUUGAUGUCCCUAAAUAAUAAUUAAAUAAUGAGUUGAUGUCCCUAAAUAAUAAUUAAAUAAUGAGUUGAUGUCCCUGAAGGACAAUUAAAUAAUGAGUCUAAGGCAUGCUUGAAGGGUGGUAGACCCUAAAAAGACAAACACAUUCCCUAGAAGAGGAAAACAUAAGAAAAUAUAUAUGAAAUGUGGCACUCUUGAAGAAGUUGCAUAUUAAAUGAGUUAUUAAAAUGACUAAUCGGUCUCAAGCAGCCCCUGAAGAGGCAUAGUUUAAAUAAGUAGCCCUAUGAGAGACAUAUGUUUUACAAUUAGCUCCUGAAAAGGUACAAGUACCUGAUAUUGAUGAGAUCUCAAUUAUUUACUUAUAUAUGGAAAAAAUGGGAUUAAAAUACUUUUUUCAUUGACAAUAUAUUUUCUUUCCAAAUAGAUAUUGACAUCAUAAGAAAUGAUGAGAAUCCCAAAGUAGAAACUAUGAAUGAAUGUCAAUAUAGAAAAUAUUGGCCAAAAUGGAAAGAAUACAUCUCGAAAAAAUUAGACUCAUUAGAAAAAUGAGAAGUAUUCAGACCUGUAGUCCAGAUGCCUGAAGUUGUCAAACUUCUUGGAUAUAAAUGAAACCAUGAGAUAUAAAACGCGACUCAUAGCUUAAGGUUUCCCGUAAAAACCUAGUAUUGACUACGAUGAAACAUAUUCUCUUAUGAUGGACACAACCAUAUUUAGAUAUCUAAUUUGUUUAAUAGUCUUAGAAAGACUUGAUAUAUAUAUAUAUAUAUAUAUUCAAAUUCCUGAAGCAACUAAUUCAAAACAUUGUAACAUAUACUCAAUUAAGUUACAAAGAUCCUUGUAUCGAUUAAGCAAUCCAAAGACGUGUGGUACGAUCACUUCAAUGAAUAUUUGAAGUGAGAAGUAUGUAUUACCUUAUUUUGUCUAUGCAUAUUCGUUGUGUUGAAUAUUUGCAAUUAUUAUAGUAUAUGUAGAAUAUUGAAUUUUGUUGCUACUCUUGAAAAGCUUACAAAAAUAGUUGAUUAUUUGAAAAGUAAAUUGAAAUGAAAGAUCUUGGAAAACAAAAAUUUUUCUUCGACUUACAGAUCGAGUACUUUUCAAACAAAAUAUUAGUUUAUUAGUCAACAUAUACAAAGAAAGUCUUGAAGCACUUUCAUAUGGAUAAAUCAUAUUCAUUAAGUUCUCUGAUGAUAGUUCAUUCACUUGAAGUGAAAAAAGACCUCUUCUAUCCUAAAAAAGAUAAUGAAGAACUACUUGGUCUAAAAGUACCAUAUUACAAUGUUAUUGGUGCACUGAUGAAUCUUGCAAAUUAUACAUGACCAGAUAUUGCAUUCCUUGUUAAUUUACUUGUGAGAUAUAGUUCUGCACCAACUCAGAGACAUUGGAAUAAAAUCAAUCAUGUACUAUAAUAACAUGGGUCUAUGUUAUUUCGAAUGAUCAAAAUCUUAAUUGCUUGAAUAUGUAGAUGCUGACUAUCUUUCAGACCCCCACAAAGCUCAAUCUCAAAUGAGGUAUGUAUUUAUCUAUGGUGGUAUGACAAUAUUGUGAAAAUCCAUCAAGCAAAUAAUAGAAACAUGUGGACUACCCUCCAUCAUAGGUAAUGCUACCAAGUUAAUAAUGUUGUAUGCAUUACACAUAUUCAAAAAAUGAUACAUUAAGGGUGAUAGAAUUAAGCAUAUAUCGCCCAAGUCUUUUACUUUCAUUAACUCCAGAAAAGUGAUGAAAUUGCUAUUAGACGAAUAAGAUCAAGUGACAAUUUAAUAGAUCUAUUCACAAAAGCAUUGUCAACUGCAAUACUCAAGAAGCUCAUUGGAAUGCGUCGACUUAAAGAUCUUCAUGUUAUGCUACUAGAGAAAAUAUAAUCAUGUUAACAUGAGGGGAAGCUAAUUGAUAAGAAUAUCACUACGCUGUACUUUUUUUCCUUUCAUCUAGGUUUUGUCCUACUAGGUUUUACUGGUAAGGUUUUUAAUGAGGCAGUUGUACUAAUCCAAAAGACUAUUGUACUUUUUUUCCUUCACUAGGGUUUUUCCUAGUAAGGUUUUAAUGAGGCAUAUUCUUAUGAUCAUCCAAGAUGAAGUGUUAUAAAAUAUGAGAUUCUAUACCACUAUGGUAACUUGUGGAUGAUCAUCCAUAAAUAUCUUUUGUAACCCCCUAUAAAUUGGGGUUUUUAUGCCAAAAACAAAAAUUAAUAUGUGACAUACUUCUAUUGGCCACUUAUUUUUCAAAUAAUUACCUAAAAAAUAAUAAAUAAUAAAAUUGUGAUUUCUAGUCAUAUAGGGCCCACUUAGGGUUGAUAGAGUGCCCUAGACACAAUUCUCAAUGUGAAAAAAGCAAAAUCUCAAAGUGUAUCGUAUGUGAUUUUGAAAUUGAGGUAAUUUUGAAAUGGAUUUCAAAAUUAUAAGUUGAAUUUUUUUAAAUUACAAUUUUGAUUUCAAAAUGACUCUUUAGUUUUACCUAGUUACUUUCAAAUGGCCAUAACUUUUUUUGUUUCAACUUCAAUUUGCACACCUUUUAAGUCUUGGACUCUUGACUUUCUUAGGCUUUAAAACAAUGUAUAAUAUGUUUAAAAUUGAUCUUAGGAAGUUCUUCAAAAUUCAUUUCCAAAUGAAGACAUAUGCUACUACUAGAUUUUGAAUUCCAUUAAACUUUGAGGUAUAACCUCCAACCUUCUUUUUUGUUUUUUCUUGUUCUCCAUAUCUUUCCAUUAUCUCUCAUGUUAUGCAUUACUCCAUUUACAUUUGUUGCAACUCUCAUCAUGCUUAAGAAUCCUUGGACUUUCUUGUAUUCUCAUUAAGCUCUUUCACUUUUAUGGAUGAAAGAGAUUCUUGUAACUUACAUCUUUUUGCAUCUCUUAAACUUGAAUCUUAGCUUAAGAUAUACUUCAAAUUCAUGGUUAAGGUCUUCGCAAUAAUUUGAGUUAAAUGGGGCAAAGUUGAACAUUUUUAUCACAUAAUUCACUCUCUAAUUAUGCCAUUAGGGCACAAUUCAUGGCUUCAAUUAUGACACUGAGCAACAUGAUGUCUAAGCUUGCCAUAAACAAAGUAGUUCAUUCUUUUUUCAAUUUUAAGGUUUUGAACCUUAUUUAUUGAAUUAUGUAUGGGUUGAGAGUUUUGUUUUCUAGACCUAUUAUUUUGGUUUCAUUUAAAAUUUUCUUCCACCACAUUUGAUUUAGAGGAUAACUCUUGAAGUUUCUAAGCUUUGUCUUUGUUUAUAUUUCAUUCCUCAAUCCAGAUAUAAAUAAAAUUACAUCUUCUACAUACAAUUUUUUUAUGCUUCAAGUUAUUUUUGUAAUCUUUCCAAGAGUUUGGAAGAGUUUCUAUCAAGCAUCUAGUCACAAAUGGUUUAGAAAGUUUUAUAUCUUCAUUAGAUAGAUCACUGAUCAAUAAAUAACAAUCAUGAGUUUGAGAUGAAACAUCUAAAUCCUCAAUCAUGUGGAACUUCCUAAAUUUCCCUAUAUAAUUUUUUUUCAAAUUACUUUUUGUUCAUAGUGUUUCUAAUAUCUUUAGCAAUUUUGAACUAAUAGUAGACAUCAAAUAACUCGUUUCAAAUAGUACUAAAAAUUGCAUACCUCACUUGUUUAUCGUUGUUUUCCCAUGGAGUUAGUCGAAUUAUUUGAUCUAUCAUUAGGUUUAGGUCAGUCAAGACAUACUUUAAGUUGACUACACCAACUAUAGAGAAAACCCUUUCUUGCCACUUUCUAAGAAGUAUCAUGAGAAGGGUUGUUUCCAUUGAUCUACUUUAAGAUUAUUGGAAAAUCAAAGUAUUAAGUCCAUAACGAUUAAAGAUAGAACCAAAAGAUGAUUAAAAGCAUAAACUAAACUGUAAACUGAAUAUAUACUUGUUAAAUUUUUACUAUGGUUGAAAUGUUAUAUAUAAAGCAUUAUCCUUAAAGUAGAUUCAUCAUUUUCAAAUAUCAUGUCUUGACGCAAUAGGAAAAAAAACCGACAUUCUAUUUCUAGGAUUCAAUAGUCACAAUUCUUUCAAGGUCUAAUCCUUGAAAGAGCUUUCUUGAGUUACAUCUCUUUAGCAUAAGGAACAGUCCUCUAAAAGUAAGAGAAGUGGAGAGAAACAAAGAUCAAAGAGUUUUUUGAUAGGUUCGUUUUUUUUCUACGAAGUAUUUCUUUUUGUUUGGAAAAAAUUGUAACAAAAGAAAAAUAUCUAUAAUGGAAUGAUGAAAUUUAAUUUUUAAAAUCAAUUUCAAAACAUGAUUUUAAAUUGAAGAUGCGAUUUAGUUCCAAUAAUACUAGUAUUGUUAUUCAUGAAAAUUGGUAAUUACCAGCCUCAUUAUAAUAAAUUUCUUAGUUAGCAUUUUUUUUAAAUUUAUGAAUAAAAAUUUUGUCAAAUUAUUUUGAGUUGUGCUUGUAGAUGUGGGAUCCCUUCUAUGCACUAUGUUCGUGAACAAGCCAAAUUAAGAACUUUUGGAUCAAGUCCCCGUAAUCCCAUUGGAUCGGCAAAGUGUUUAUAUGCAUAAUUCUAAAAGGCUUAAAAAGUGGAGGUGAAUAUAAGGGCUUAUUUGAAAACUAUUUUCAAGAAUAGUUUUUAAUUUUAUUAAAACAAAAAAUCAAGAAAAUACGUUUGAUAAUCAAAAAUUAUUUUUUAUUUUUUAAGAAUAUUAUUUAAUUAUUUUCACUUGUAUUCAUUUGUUUUUGAAGGAUUGCUUUAAAAAGUAAGUAUACAAACAUCUAAAAUGAUUUAAAAUAAAGAACUAGAUAUAAAAAAAAUCAUUUUUAAAACAUAUUUAAUAAAUAUUAAAAAUAUGUUAAAAAUAUUUUAAGUUUUAAAAUAUCAAAAACUGUUUUUUCAGAACUAUUUUAAAAAGUAAUUACUAUACUAAUCCUAAAUCAAUAUUUCUAUUUCUUUUUAACUUGGGAUUGAAAACAUUACAUACUUUUGGGGAGAGAUAUCCUUUUAUAUGGUAGAGUGGCAUUUUGCAUUUUUUUUUUCAAGCCUUAGGUGACGCAUUUAGUGCACAUCAUGUGAGAUGGCGCCACAUGGACUUGGGAAUUCUUGGGAUCCUAAAAGCAUAAAAAAAAAAUGGGAGAAUUACCCUUAAGGGUAGGCUGGGGAAAAAAAUUACUAAAAAUGGUGGGUAAAUUUGAUAAUUCUUCUGAAGGCCUUAUAUUUUUAUUAGACUAAUUUACCCUCAAUUUGACCAUUGAACCAGCCAUUGUCACCAGACAAUUGUUCCAUUUGGAUCUGCCUCUGGAAGUCCACGGGGGACACCACUGGAUCUCCAACAACAUGGCGAUCCUCCGAUCCUGGAUCCGAUCUCACUGAAUAAUCCUUGGGAAGCACAUCUGGAGCCGUGGGUGGAGGCGUUGGAUCCUGCAAUUUCACGGGGGGAGGUGGAGCGAGCCCUUUAUCCAACCCAAACAGAAAAUCCGGAUUGGUCUCAGAGGCCGCCGCUUGAGGUGAAGAACCUUCCAGAGGCUGGAUCUGCACAAAAGCCCCACUAGUCCAAAGUAAAGUCCUCACAAAGCCUUCCAAAUCUAUCCCAAUCCCCCAAAAUAUUUCAUUUCAAAGCCCCUAUAUUUAUAUUUAUGGCGUUUCCACCUUGAGAUCAGAAGCAGUACAAAUCUUUAUUUGUUACAUUCUGCUUAUUUCAUGUUUUGCCCUAAGUGUUUUGGGUUUGGGUCUGUUUGGUUGUUGAGAAAAUUUGGGAAAAAAAAAAUAAACUUGGGGUUUCAUUUUCAAUUUUUGAGUAUAGGGAAACCCAAAAACGGAAAUAAAAAAAGUCAACUCACUAGGGUUUUUCUUUUGUUUUGCUUUUCGUUUUCUCAGGAACCAAAUAGUGGGCGAUUGCAAAACUUUUCUUUGGCCGAGAAUGGUUUUGUGCUUUGCUUGGGUGGUGGGAAAAAGGUAAGGAAAGAAAAGAAAUUGAUGUCUUAGAAUAUUGAGUUUCUAGGCUCUGUUAGAGGAGUUGUUUGGGUGUUUUUUUGUUUGAGUUCAUUUUUGAGAAAAGAUUUCUAGGCUACUAAUUUUGUUUGAGAUUACAAAGAAUGUGGGUAUCGGGUAUUUGGGUUUUUGUGUGAGUUCACGUUUUUUCUUUAAUUUUUAUUUUCUACUUUCUCAGCAUCCAAACGGACCCGCAAUUGUUAUUACUAUUGUUGUAUUUGCUUGUGUUUGUGAUUAGCUAGAAGAUUUGAUGAUGAAUCAACAUGGUUUUGUUUAGAUGCAAUUGGUCUAAUUCUGAAACCCAUUUGGAAUUGGGUUGUGCCAAUUUAUUUAGUAUUAUGACUGUUGAUAGAGGUUGAUUUAGGUAAUCUGUCUGGAUGCCGAGAAGCUGGAGGAAAAUAUAUGAGAAAAAAUAUUGAAUCCUUGAACUCCUUAAUAAAUGUAAUCAUGGCAGCGGUCAAAUUUCUUAGAAAAUGCUGUUCUGAGCUACUUUCUUAUGUUCCUGGAUCCCUAGUUAAACUUGGAAUCAAUUGAGAUGUAUUUUCUGCUGUUUUGAUUCUAUUAAAAAUCAAAAACAAGUUUGAACAUAUAAUUGAUUUUGUUGAUUGUAAUGUGGGAACUGGUAGUGGACCUCCUGUUGUGGCAGUGGCAUGCACCAGAUGGGAAAAAGCAAUGUAGUUACAACUAAAGAAUUUGAUUUAUUAAACUCCAAUACUCUCAAAAAUAUAAUUAACAAUAAAUAAAGUUGGCUUUAAUGGCUAGCUCUUGUCCUUGAGAAAAAUGCUCUGACUUUAAUGGCUUAAAGGUUUCAUUUUAAAAACCUUAAAAGCCAUGUUUGCUUCAUGGAACAGGGCUUUGGGAAUGAGACUGAUAUUUUCAUUCCAUUAAUUGUCUUAUUUUGUUCUAGCAACUUGUGUGUUGCCUAUGAUUUACAUUUCAGAUUGUAGUUUUUUCUUGUUGUUUGGCUAAUUUGGAUUCACAACAUUAAUGCAUUAAAAAAAUACUAAAAAAUAAUGGUCUUGGUUGAUGAGGAAUAUUGAAUUGGUUCGUUUCCUAGAGCAACUGAAUCAUAAAGCUGUUGAUCAGUGUGCUCUUAUGCAGAUCAAACUCAAGAUGAAAACCAUUACAAUCCUGAUCCAUCAUUUUUGUCUUACCUACAAAAAUGCAUAAUAAGGCAUCUUGUGAUUUAUUUUUUGGUUUUCUGACUACUGGUCUUGUUUAAGAUUUAUGGUGUGAUGCAUUCUACAAUCUAAAGAUGCUUUCUAUAUAUGUAGUUCAAAAUAGUUCUUAAUUCUUUUGUAUGCAUUCUACAAUCUAAAGAUGCUUUCUAUAUAUGUAGUUUGCCGAAUGGGAGUCUAGGCUCUGUUGAGUGCAUUUUUCAGUUUUUCUGUGUCCUAAACCGUGACGAUUUUACUAUUCAAUCUGAUUUAGCAUUGGCUAUGCUCUGCUUUUUUUAUACAUUUGCUCAGCAACCAAGUAGAGUUGAAUCAUUAAGCGCAUGAUGCAAGAAACUAAAAGCGUUUCAAUUGUUUUUUUCUAGUUUCUUUUUGCGAUCUAGUGAGAUUUGAACUUGGCGGCGUUUUUUUUUUGUUCCCUUCUCUGGCUUGGCUCUUAGCAUUCUUCUCUGUUGAACCCGUGUUCUAUAGGCCCAUUUUUUGUUUCGCUUGUACGCUUGGAAACGUUAGAGAAAGGAAAGAAAUUAAAACGAUGAUGCUAGAUUUUUGUGGAUGUUAAAACCAAAUACAACAGGAGAUUAGAAUUUCCAUCCUAUCUUUUUUUUUUUUUUUUUUCAUUUCCUCAGUUUUCUCGUGAACUAAACAAAGUUUUUUUUCUUUUACAUACUUCUUGAACUCUAUAUACAAAUAUGCAAUUAAUCAAUUUAGUGGUUUUGCCUUUUGAAUUGCAUAAAAUUUGGUUUUUUAAGCAAUCUAAACAUUUGAUGCUUUUCUGCUUAAUUAGUGUGAUUUGCUUAAAUCAUAAUGUUUUGGAACCAAUUAUAUUUUAAUAAACUGUAGAUAGCAGUUUUUGCUUUUACUUUAGAACUAUUUGGCACUUUUGCAAAAGUUAAGAUUUCAAGUUCCCCAAGUAUUUUAUUCUGAAUUAAAGUUCUUCAUCCAUUUUGUUUUCUUAAACUUUGUAGUUCGAUUGUCUUUAUUGCUUUGGCAUUGUAUGGUUUCAUGUAUAAAGCCUUAAAGCUUUGGCCAUUAAAAUGGAAUUGGUAUUUAUUUAUUUAUUUUUCAUCUCUAAAGGAUAGAUUUGAAAGUGAUUUGUGAUCUUCAGAAUAGAUUCUGCUCGUAUUGGUAGAAAACCUGCAUUGAUUUUGGGUGUAUUUUUUAUUUGACUCUGAUUCAAUUUUAAUAAUAUUGAGUGUCCAUUGUAUGGUUUCAGCAUUGGGGAAUCACAAUCAUGAAACCAUUUGUCACGUUGAGUAGAUGAAAUAAGGUUUUUCUUAAAGAUCCCCACUUGGAUUCUUAUGGUUCCAUCAUUAAGCACUUUUUUUUUUCUUCAUGGUAUAGAUUACAAGGAAUUCCCAAAUCUUUCAGCUGUGAAAAGAGUUCAUGCUUUUUAUUUUUGCAUGAGAAUGCCCUUGCCUCAGUGGGUUUUGUUAAUUGACCUACAGUGAGAACAUACUUGCCCUUCUGGUUUUGUUAUUGGAGAAACCCUUUCAAGGAACUUUGAAUGAUCACUCAAAAUUCUUAUGCAUGCCAAUUAUCCACUUAAAUGUGAGGAUCAUUCAUGAAGAAGACAUUCAUAGGUUGUUCCAUGUUUGAAUCUUUUUAUUAAAAUAUAUCUUAAGAUUGUUGUGUAAUGCAUCCUGCACCGCUGAGUUUGGCUGUAUUCUGGCACAUCAUGUGUUGUUCCUUUUACAUAAUUGAUUUUUUUUUUAAAGUUAUUAAUGAAAUGCAUGGUUUGAGAUACUGAGUGCAUAUACAACAGUUACAUUUCAUCAUUUUUUAUAACCCGACUCUUGGUAGCUUGGCAUGUAAGGGUAUCAACAAAAUUUAUACCUAAGGUCCUUACACUAAAGUAGCAAAGCUACUAUAGCAUAGUGGCUCUAAGAUCAAACACUGGGAGGGGUUUUUACUUUAACUGGUGAAGUUCGGAGGAUGGAGUGAACUUUUCUUAAUAAAAAUUAGGUUAAGAUGAAAACAUAAAAAGAUGAAGGUGUUGUAAACUAAACUAACAUGAAAAUAGGUUAAAAGAUGGAAAAAGAAGUUUCUCAAAGCUUUGGAUAGCCAUGCUUAACUCACUAUGUAAAAAUGAAGAUUUUAGGACUCUUCACCUCGAGUUGGGGAAGCAACUAAGGUGAUGCUUACUUCCCGAAUCGGUAUGAGUUUAACAACUGAGUUUUAGUCCUUGAAAACUUACAAAAAGGGUAGCUAAACCUCAUAAAUGCUCUUUUAUUGGUAUAUGUCAUCUCCUCGACUUGCAAUACAAUGGCUCGUAGGAGAUAACUAAUGAACGUCAGUGAAUCUAACAAUAAGAAUCCACUAAGACCAAAAGGUUAUUAAGUAUUGGCCAUUCAAAGCAAGUCAGAGGGAUUAAAAGCUUUACUUUGAAUGAAAACAUUUAUGACGUUCAGCUACUUACAUUUAUGGCUUGGAAAUCUCCAUCCUGACACGGGAGCUUCACAUGGCAUCCAUUACUUCAAGAAACUAAAAGGUUUUAGCCUCUCAUCCUUGGGGAUUUCAUCCUCCAAGGAUGUUUGGCUACUAAGAAAAUGAGAAAGAAAAGAGAAAAGAAACGUAUGAACAAAAGUGCUCUUAUAACUUAUAAAGUUACAGGUUACAAGAUGAUCGUGUCUGAGGCUCUUCACCUCUAUUUAAAGACAAUAAAAAGCUAAAUUACAAGAGCUAUUACAAAAGCAACCUUUUCAUUGGUUGAUUACAAGGGUAAAAUAAGUAUUUACAAAGCUAAAAGUCAAGCAAAAAAUCUUGGAGAACCGGUAGUGGAAUAUCAUCAACAGCGUCUCAAAACAGGGGAUUUCAAAGGCAUUUCGCAAAGGGAAGAAGAUGAAAGGUCCAAAUUUCGCAAGGUGGUUUCUUCAUGGUGCGAAAUGGCCAAAUUUCGCACCAUGAGGAAAAUCCCCUUGCGAAAUUUUGGCAAGGUGAAUUGCCUCCCCUUGCAAAAUGGUGUUCCCAUUGCUUGUGCUCGUGUUUCCACUUGAAAUUCAAGCCUGUAAACGUCCAAAAUCCUUGCUUAACUCGCCCAAGUAGCUCCUCCAUCAAUUGGCAUGCUUGAAUUGGUUCAUAAGCUGAUGAAAAACAUGUAAACUUGCCACUAAAAAUGGUUAGAACUAAUUACUAAGGAGCUUAAUGAAUUAAUUGGGUUAAAUGAAUAUGAUUACUACUCAAAAGUGCUUAAAACCCUUAUAAUUAGGUAUACAAAAUAGCACUUUUCGGUAGUAAUCACUUUCCCAUAGUUUGCUUAUCCAUAUUUACAGUUAAUAGUCAAAUCAAGUUGUAAUUCUAAUAUCUGUGCCAGAAAAUUGUAAUAAUGUGAAAUUACUUUAUCAAAGUAGAUUGGCAUAAUGUAUACUGAUUGAUCUUGUUGGGCAUUGGUGAUGGAAGAACUAUUCAUUUAUUUUUAUUUUCUGCCUUGUGGAACCAAAAUUUGAUAGUUUAUAAUGAAAGAAAACGUAUCUAUAAGAUAAGAUUGUUUUUUUCAAUAAUUAUAUUUGGGUUGGCAAAGCCCAUUUUGUGUUGUCUCUCAUCAUUGACCCCGAGGCUGAAGGAGUACAAAACAGUACAUGGACAUGAUGCAUCCCCCUUUCACUUAUUAAUGACCUACCAUGGACUGCUUGAUGAAAAUUCCAUGCCCCAUUGUCUGUCUAAAUCUCUUAAGACCCUAUGCAUCUGAAAAGAGAAGAAACAAAUUAAAUCAGAAUAAAUAACUUUUGUAUUACACAGGCCAAAGCAUAAUCUCACAUAUUGGCCUCAUCUUAUUGAUAGAGGCACAUCAAUGUGACUAACUUCUCACCAAAUGGAAAGAACCCUAGACUUAUUUCUCUCCUCUGCAUGUCAAUUUCCUUCCCCACUUCAGUCUGCAUCUUCCAAACAAAAAUUAUGCAUGCUAUUUAAUACAAUGGAAAUUUCAACUACAAAGGCAAAAAAGAAUGCCAUUUAUUAUAAUUGAAAUUUAACGGUUACAAUGCUUCCUAGACAAUGACUUGCAGGAAGGCUUUAUCCAAAUAAAAGAAAGAGCCUCACAAAAAUAGAAAAACAGGACCAUAUUACAUUAUUUUAAAGAGAUGCAAGAUAUAGUUCUUAAAGCAUAUAUAAUGGUACAAAAGAGGUCACUUUCUCCAGGAACCUAGAAGAUACAACCAGACUGGAGGCAUCCUUCUACAUAUGAAGUACUUAACAUAAAAGCCAAAUAGUAGCUAGCAAUCUGAAAAUUAUCCAUACCCAGGUGAUCCAUCCCAUCAAAAUAUGGUGGAAUUGAUUAUAGGGCAUGAAACAAACUUCACUCUUUACCGUCAGGCUAAGGUUAUUUCUUUAGGAUUGUGUUUCCAAUAUUGUCUUAGGGUAUAUUGGACAUUAUUUUUUAAUGCAAACAAAAUAUCAUCUCUUUUUUUGCAUUUCAAUUCUUUCGAAUUUAAUAUAUAUUCUUGGGAGUUGUCAAACACCAUAUUGGAUGGCCAAGAGACAUAGCAUAUGAAAAAAUAAACAUAAAUAUAUUAAAUUAUAUUGUAAUAUAUUGUAACGUUAGUGUAUUUGUAUUGUAAGUAUAAUGCAUUUAUGUUGUACCUAGUUUGUAUAAAUUAUAUAUGAUUUAAAAGGUUAGCCAUGAUGAGCAUUAACAAUUUGUACAUAUUGGAUUAUCAUCAAACAACUUAAAUUUGUUAUCCACUAAUACAAUGGCUCUGUGUGUUUUUAGUAGCAUGUAUGUAACUGUAUUUGGGAUCACUAAUAGUAGUUAAACCAAAAUAAAUAAGGGUACAAUACAAAUGCCCUACAUUUACAAUACAAUUGCACUAGAAGUACAAUAUAUUACAACAUUACUUGAUUCAUUAUACAUUUAAUUAUGACAAUUGAUUAUUUGAUAUAAAUUCCAUAGUGCAGUGUGGAGUAUAAUACAUGGAUAAAAGGAAAAAAACAAUACAAUACAACCAGGUUUGAACAUUAUUUUAAUUAGUAUUAUUUUAUUUUGACUAUAUUAAUGUUUGACAUUGUUGUUUAAUUUGACUAUUUUAAUUUUAAUUUUAUAUUAUCAUUUAUUUACUUUUACAGGAGGUCAAAAUAAAUAGUCGAUGCUCCAGCAAAAAACUUAGACAUCUACUUGAUGAGCUAAGUGAUGAAAAGAAGAGUAUAAUUCAACAUAUUGGCUUUGGUGGAUUACUUCAGCUCUCUUCCACAGAGAUAAGGCAUAGCUUAUGUAGAUGGAUAAUAACUCAUUUCAAUAUAGCCCACUGUAGGUUAGACAUAGGACAAGAAAGGCAAUUUCCAAUAACUUGUUCUGAUGUAGGUGAAAUUCUGGGUAUUCCAUAUAUUGGUAGGAGGCUAAAUAAUGAUAAGAUCAUAAGUCUAAAAUAGUGGCAUAUGUAAUACAAACAUCUUUGUCAUGACAAUCAAGUAAAUAAGUAAGUUCCAAAACAAAUUCUUACAGAUUCUAAUUUCAUAAACGACACAUAUCAUCACAAUCAAAAUAAGAUAAAAAGUAGCAUGUCACCAAACAAGCAUAACACUAGAAUCAUGGAGCGGGUAAUGGAUUUUUGCAUGAAGCUCGAUUAUGGCCUGCAACUUGACAUCAUGAACAGAAGAUAAGCCUUUUUGAACUAAAUUGAGACUCUAUUCGACGAUGUCGAGGCCUUCCAAGUGGUCGUUUUGAGCAUGGAGGUUUAAGUGAAGGAUAUAAGCGACCUUGAGCAUCACGAACACAUCCAUCAGUAUCAACUAUAGGCAUAUUGUGAUUUGGAAUUGAAUUGAAGUGUCCAGAAUAUAUCAACUCUUGCAUUGGAAGCUUGAAAUAUGAGUCAACAUAUUCAUAAACAUCUUGUUUCAUCUGGCGUAUUGCUGCACAUGCAUGCUCACAAGGUAUUCCGGCCAUUUGCCAAGCCUUACAAGUACAUGUAUGCUCUCUCAAAUUCAUGUCUACAUAUACUUUCAUAUUGAAUACCUUAAACACACCACCAACAUAGGGAUAUACAGGCAAUGACCCACUCUUUAUAAUGUUUUCCAACAACUUUUCCUCGGUCUUUGGGCCAAUUGCAGCUUUCCAAUUUUCUGUAGAACCCAUAUGAUCACAUGCUAGAUGAGCAAACUUAUCCAUGUGUCAUUACUAAGUUGAAAAUUGUGUAAUGACGUUCCUCCUUCAACCAAGCAUUGAAUGAUUCAGCAAGAUUAGUUGUCAUCUUAUCCCAUCGUUUUUUGGCAAACUUUGACAUUGCCCAAUGUUGUGGACUAUUCUCUUCAACCCACUUCGCUAGGUCACUGUUAUAUGUCUUUAAUUUUUCCAUGGCUACAACAUAAUCAUCAUCCAACCUAGCAUACGCAACAUUAUCAAGCAGCAACAAUGCAUCCAUUUUAUAUUUUUUUCCCCUUCAUACUAUGUUUCGUCACAUAGCUACUAAAAUUCUCUUUCACAUGACGAUAACAAUAUGCAUGAUUUUCUACUCCAAAAAGUUGAGAAACACUACGAAGGAUUGCUUGAUGCCUAUCUGAUAUUAUGACUACCUCUUUAUCUUGAAGUAUGCCCUUCAAUUUCUGCAAAAACCAUAGUCAAUCCUCAUAGUUUUAUGAACUUACAACACCAAAUGCAAUUGGGAACAUGUCAUCAUCAGCAUCAUAAGCUGUUGCAGAAAAUAAAGAGCCCCUAUACGGUCCACUCAAAUGAGUUGAGUCAAUUGCAAUAACAGGUCGACAACCCAUUAAAAACCCUUGAAUUGAAAAAAAAUGUGCAAUGAACAAUUGCCAAAAAUGCCCAUCUUGUUUGCUAUAUUCAGCAAUCGUCCUUGGAUUAAUGUCUACCAAUCUCUGACAUAACCAUGGCAACAACAUAUAUGAGUUUUCUGGAAGACCAUAUAUUCUCUCUUUUGCCAUUUCUUUGUAUGUCCAAGCUUGCUUAUAACUCAAUGAAACACCAUACCGACUCCUGAAGUCUUUGCAAAUUUGACGGGGCAAAUACUGAGGGGUUGCCCUUAUUACUUGCUCUAUAACAUGAGCACAUCUCCUUCCCCGCAUUGAAGGUUGGCUUGAACACUCAACAUAUGCACAAUGAUUGUGUACAUCAAUGAAGAUGUUAACCUUCAAAAUUUUGGUUGUGCCUACUGAAUUAGCAGUUAUUCUCCAAGGGCACCCAUCC
rnacentral:lncRNA from 1 species